CUGCCUGAGCGGGCCAAGCUGCGGGCGCCCGUUUGCGGCCUUCUCGCUCCAGGCGAGGAGCCAGAGCGCCCCGGGCGGCGCUGCUAAAACCCGCACUGUUGCUAAAGCAACAGGAAACGAUCUAAUUCCUUCUCCUCCUUCCGCCAUCCGCUGCCUUUCGGGGGCAAAUUCCGUCAUCAGAGAUCCGAGGCUGAGCGUGACAGGGCGCUUGCUCGGGAUGGUGGAGGGCUGGGCGAGGUUUUGGGGAGAGAGGUGAAGUUUCUGGGAAGACUGGUGUGAAGUCUAAUGAAUUACUCUCUAUUUCCAAGAAAUGUGCACUUUCCCCUCCUUUAACAGCUGUUGGAUGAAGUCUUAGGGUUUUUGUCUCUUGCCCCAGUUACCAAGAGGUUUGACUGGAAAGUAAUGCUCUCAUUUUGGGGCUGAAAAUAUUUAAAAUUCUCUACAAGCUCCAUGGACAAUAUUAACCUUUCCCGACUGACAAGUGAACUUAGGAAAAUGGCUGCAAAGAUAAGAAGUUUCUUAGCCUUGUGCUUAAAGCUG